CUGCAGCUUGGGAUGGGAUGAGAUCUCUCUUCUUGCCGAAGAACUAGUUCAGUUAUCAGUAAAGGGCUUGAUGGUUCGAUGGUGGUACCAAGUUCUAAACCUACAUUGAUAUGUACAGUUUGGACAGAAAAGCUAUACAACCCAGAUAGCUUUAGGUCUCAUAUGAGAGGUAUAUGGAAGACAAGGAAAAAGUUUUGAGAUUCAGAUAGUGGGACAAAACUUAUUUUUAAUAAUUUUUGAGAUGGAAGAAGAUCUGGAGAUGAUUUUGAAGGGGAGACCAUGGCUCUUUCGUAAAAGUAUAAUUCCAUUUGAUAAAUUAUGUCAAGCUGUGGAAAGAGAUAAGAUCAGGCUUAUUUCAUCCCCGUUUUAGAUAAAAAUUGACUCGUGUUUCCCAGAGUUCGACAAGAAAGAUCUAUUGCAUGCUAUUGGUGCCACGUUCGGUGGGGUUCUUAGAUUUGAAAUUAAUGAAGAAUUUUGUCAGCUCAGAAUUAAUUUGGAUGUCCAGAGACCACUCAGAAGAGGUAUCUUUGUCUCUACUGAUUAUUUUAGUAAAGUAUGGAUUCCUUUUUAAGUAUGAAAAUUUGCCAAUGUUCUGUUUUGGAUGCGGAAGAAUGGGGCAUGGGAUGAGUAAUUGCACUCAGACAUUACCUGCAAGGAAAAAAAAAUUAGUAGAAUCAAAAUUAAUCGGAAAUGAAAUUAUGAAAUUUAAUAGUUUGUUGAAGCAGGUGGGGGCUCAAAGUUUUUAUACUGGAGGGGAAAGAGUGUCGCCGAAUAAUAUAAAAAGUGCUGAGAGAGGGAACAAUAAGGUGGGGGGCUCACACGAAAAUUUGGAACUGAUGGGAGUGGGGGAGAUGCUUAAAGAGCAGGAUUGUUUUUCGGGGUUAGGGGAAGCUGAGAAGUUGAGCGAUUGUAUUAGAAAAAAGGGUCAAAAUCCAUAUCAUGAGAAGAAGGUAAAUUGGACAAGAACACAAGCUGGCGCUACGAUAAUACCAUCAAAAGCCGAAAAUAAUAUGAGGAAGACGAAGUCCCUAGAUGCAGAUCUUAAAAGGUGUUAUAAAGAAAAUGUUGACAGGGAUGGAAUUAAAAGGCUGAAACAAGAAACUUCAGAAGAUUAUGACAAAGGCCAUUCAGAGAUGAUGGCAGACAAUUAUGAGCAACUUGAUGGUCAAGACUUAAAGAGAUCGACGGCUGCCAGCAGGCAAGCAGGCACAAUGAAAAUUAUAAGCUGGAAUGUUGGUGGAUUUGGGAGUCCACGAGCUGGAAGAAGGCUGCGUUACUUCCUAAAGCAGCACAAUCCCCAAAUGGUCUUCCUAAUGGAGACUAAAAUAGAUAAACAAAGGAUGGAAAAAGUUGGACGAAAUUGCAGUUUUAUUAAUGGAAUUGAUAUUGAAGUAGAGGGCUCGAGAGGAGGAUUAUGCUUAGCAUGAAAAGGAGACACUAAAGUUAGUUUACAAAGUUUCUCUAGGAAUCAUAUUGAUGUUUUGAUUAAAGAGGAAUAGGAAUCAUAUUCGUGGGAUCUGUUAAUAAAACUAGGGCAAGAUAAGGAUUACCCAUGGUUGGCAGGUGGUGAUUUUAAUGAGAUCAUGUAUUCUUUUGAGAAAUGUGGGGUUGUCCCAAGGGAUGAGAGCAGAAUGCACGUAUUUUGAAAAGUCCUAGAAGAUUGCUAGGUUUACAUGGGAAAUGGGAAAUCUUUCGGAGACAAAUAUUAGAGAAAGACUCGAUAGGGGUGUGAUAAAUGAUAAAUGAUAAAUGGAGGUUCAUUUUUUCGACAGGUAGCGUUAACAAUCUACCUCACACGAUGUUCAAUCACUGUCCACUUCUAAUUAAUACAAAUGGUGAAAGCAUUCAUAAGGGCAACUCAAAAUUUAAAUUUGAGGCUUGGUGGCUGAUGGAAGAGACGUGUGAGAAAGUAAUCAAAGAAUCUUGGGAGUCAGGAACAGGCAUAGUAGUUGAGAAACUUGGAAAAUUACAAGCAGACUUAAUGGUAUGGACGAGAAUGAUUAAGAAAGUACGAGAAGGACUAAAGAAAAAACUAACAAAGCAACUUGAUAUGUUAAUGGGAAAAGAAAGGAAUGACAACACGAUGGCAGAAAUUAUUGACACUAAGAUCCACCUGAAUAUGAAAAUUGAUAAAGAUGAAGUGUAUUGGGAACAAAGGGCAAGGGCAAAUUGGCUUAGAGUAGGGAUAAGAACUCAAGUCUUUUUUCACAGUUUUGCUACAUGUCGAAGACGUAUAAAUACAAUAUCCAAGUUGGAGAAAGAUUAAGGAGGAGAAGCUAAUUAAGAGAGUGAGAUUAAUGAAGUAGCUACCUCUUAUUUUCAGAAGCUCUUCACGUCAAAAGGAGCCGGGGAUUGUUCUUAUCUCUCAACGGGAAUAAAGGAAAAUAUUUCGAUAGAUAUCAAUAGAGAGCUAAUGAUAACUUUUACAGCAGAAGAAGUGUUUGCGGCAUUGAAGGGAAUGGGACCUACAAAAGCACCAGGACAUGAUGGUUUUCCAGCAAUUUUCUUUCAAAAAUUUUGGCAUAUUGUAGGUAAGGAAACAAAUUUUAAAUAACAGUGCAAGUUUAGGUAAUUUAAAUCACACGGACAUUGCGCUGAUCCCAAAAACCACAAAUCCCAUAAGCAUUGCUAAUUUUAGACCUAUCAGUUUAUGUUCAGUCAUUUAUAAAAUGGUUGCAAAAACAAUUGUAAACCGAAUGCAAGCAGUUAUUAGAAGAUGUAUUAAUGCGGCUCAAAGUGCGUUUGUUCCGGGAAGGCUAAUAACUGACAAUGUGCUGCUAGCUUAUGAGAUCUUGCAUACUUUUCGAUAGAAGUGCAUAGGAAAAAAAUGAUAUAUGACAGUAAAGCUUGAUAUGAGCAAAGCCUAUGACAGGGUUGAGUGGGGAUACUUGAAGGAAGUGAUGUUACAAAUGGGUUUCACAUCCGAUUUGAUGAAGCUGGUUAUGAGUUGUGUUUCCACAACGUCCUAUGCAGUUAAUAUAAAUGGAAGAAGUGGAAGAAUCUUUUCACCGUCUAGAGGCCUACACUAGGGAGACCUGCUAAGCCUUUUUCUAUUUCUGAUAUGUAGUGAGGGAUUAUCAUCUUUGAUGAGAAUGGAUUCAGGAGAGAGAUUAAUAAAAGGUACAAAAGCCAGUAAAAGAGAACCAAAAAUUUCAAACUUACUUUUUGCAGAUGACUGUAUUUUGUUCGGGGAAGCAUCAGAUAGGGGUACCAGGGUACUAAAAGAAAAUUUGAAGGAAUAUGAAAGGUUUUCUGGGCAAUGUGUUAAUUUCAAUAAAUACACCAUAUUUUUAGCACAAAUACGUCCGAAGAAAAGGAAGAAGUUUCGGCAAUAUUAGGGGUAAGGAUCUCAACAAACUUAGAACGAUAUUUAGGGCUUCCAAACGUGGUUGGUCAACGUAAGAAAGAAUCCUUUCAGCAGUUAAAAGAAAAGAUUUCUACUAGGAUUGAUGGGUGGAGUACCAGAAUGUUAUCUCAAGGAGUUAAAGAAGUCUUUAUUAAAUCGGUGCUACAGGCCAUUCCAACCUAUGCAAUGCCGUGCUUCUUAUUACCAAAGACUCUUUGUGGAUAAUUUGAAAAUAUAUUUGCUAAAUUCUGGUGGCAGAAGCGCAUGGAAGAAAAGGUAUUCAUUGGUGUCAGUGGAAGUACUUAUGCCGUCCUAAAGAAGAUGGUGGGUUGGGCUUUAGAAAUAUGGCUCAAUUCAAUAUCUCACUUUUAGCUAAACAGAGGUGGCGAAUUUUGAACAAUCCACUCUUUAGUAGCAGAACUCUUAAAAGCAAAAUAUUUUCCAAAAGUUGAUUUUUUAAAUUCACAGUUGGGGAAUAACGUUUCGUACACAUGGAAAAGUAUUUGGGCUACUAAGGGCAUUUUAGCAGAGGGAUUGUGUUGAAAGGUGGGUAGAGGUACGAAUAUUUCGAGAACCCGUAAUCAUUGGAUUCCAGUUUUACCACGUGGCAGAUUAACAUGUUUGAAUGAUUUUAAAGUUGCGGCGUUAAUUGAUUCAAGUAGUAGAACAUGGAAAAAGGAGUUGAUAGCGUAUACCUUUCCGGAGGAUGUUGCCGAGAUGAUCCUCAGUAUCCCGCUGGCAGAAGGACCACACGAAGAUUUCCAAGUCUGGAGUGCUGAAGCGUUGGGUGAGUACACAGUACGUAGUGCCUAUAAACUAUUACAAAGUACUGAAGAUGAUCCUAGAGCUUAUGCUUGACAAACCGACUAUAAGGACUUUUACAGAAAACUAUGGCUACUAGAUCUUCCUUCAAAGAUAAAAAUUACAGCUUGGAAGAUGUCAUGGAAUUUCCUAGCUACAUGUGUUAAUAUGCUACUUAGAAGGCUAACAAACACAUCAGUAUGUCCCCGAUGUGGCUCAGGAAUAGAAACUAUGGACCAUCUCUUCUGUGAAUGUCCUGUUUCAACAUCAGUAUGGAGAGAGUUAUCAUUUCAUAAGUAUUUGCAAGAUAACCAGUUGGGGUUUCUACAGUGGCUAACCUAGGUUUUUUCACAAAGCUCGGCAUCCCAGUGUCGGAUCUUUUGCAUUGCAUUAUGGGCUAUCUGGGGAGACAGGAAUAAUAGAGUGCAUAAAAAAUGGAGUAAAUCUAGGAAAGAAAUAGGGAGAUUUGUUCAUAGCUACAUAUCAGAGUUAAAUAGGAUUGGUAAAAAUAGACCACUAACUUCCAUACUUGUUAAAAAAUGGAAAAAGCCAUCUGACCAGGUUGUUAAGAUCAAUUUUGACGCAACAUAUGAAGGUAGACAAAAUAAAGCGGCUGUUGGAAUAGUGGCCAAAGACAGAGAGGGUACAGUUCUCCUAUCAUGCUCGGAGGUCUGCCAACGGGUUUCAUCAGCCUUUGCGGCGGAGGCACUUGCAUGUCGAAAAGCACUCCAGAUCGGCGUUUACAUGCAGUAGGAAAAAGUUAUUAUUUAAGGAGAUUCUUUAUCAAUAAUAAGGAAAUUCAAAGCAAAAAGCCCAGACAAAUCAAUGGUUAGAGCGUAUAUUCAUGACAUUCAUCAGCUACUGUUAAAUGUUAAGGAUUUUAGGUUUGAGCAUGUCCCAAGAUUAGCAAAUAGUCUCGCGCAUAUCUUAGCAACUGAAGCGUUGAAGAGUAAUAAAGGAGAUUACCUAGUCGGAAGAGUCCCUGAAGUUGCAGAAAGACAAGCGGAAAAUGAAAGGGUGAGAGAACCAGAUUGAAAUAGGAAAGGGGAGAAAUGGAGGGAGGCGAGUCUGAGAAGGGCAGGUAGCAAAGUGACUAAAGCAAGCCCUUGGGUAAAUUGAAAACGUCUUGAAGAAGUAAAGAAAGAUGAAAAGACAAGACGUUUAUUUUCCUGUGAGGCUGAUUGUGCAGGUAGAACGGCAGCAUUAAUUGCUUCAGACUUUUGUUUCCUUUUUUUGGUUUCUAAACGAUUAGGUUUCCAUUUAAUUUUGUCUUAGCA
rnacentral:lncRNA from 1 species